GUAACAACUAGGGCAUUCAAAGUUUUUCAGGCCGUCAAACUUGUUUCUAUCUAGUUGCUACAUUGCUGCUUUUUCUUAUUAACUCCUAUGUUUGUAUCCGCCCAGACAUUUUUUAGUCUGGGCUUUUUUUC
rfam:Vibrio harveyi ATCC BAA-1116 chromosome I, complete sequence.